AAAGAUAAUUUUUUUUAUUAAUAUCGUAAUUGUGGCCCUAAAUGUAAUGAAUUAUUAUAAUAUUUGACUACAUAAAGAAAUGCAUUUAAUUUAGUUCAUGUAAGGUAACAAAAUCAACUACAUAAAAAUGGUAACUAAAUCAUCUUGAUAAAAAUAAACAAUAAUUAUUCGAAUUGAUGCAUGAAAUAUAGGGAUUGAAUAAGUAAGAAACUAUAAUGAAUCAAUGAAUUGAUGGUGUUUUGGUUUUAGAUAAAUCGUUAUCAAUAAAUUAUGGUAU
rnacentral:lncRNA from 1 species